CGGAAUUAUAAACACAAUGUUCGUAAUAAGGCACACGUUGAAGGAUCCAUAUGCACUGGUUACUUAGUUGAGGAAGCUUCUUCUUUUUGUUCACACUACUUUGAGCCUCAUGUUUACACAAGGCAUAAAAGUUCCACAGAAUGAUGAUGGUGGUACAGGUGACCAGGCUGAACACAAUGGUAAGCUUUCUAUAUUCACCUAUCCAGGUAAAGGAUUUGGUGAAUAGGAUCCGAGAUAUCUGACAGAAGAAGAACUUGAUGCAGCUCAUAUUUAUAUUCUACUAAAUUGCAUAGAAGUGCAACCAUAUGUGGAAAAUUUUAUUGACUCCCUUCGUCAAAAUUUUCCAGAAAUUACAGAGAAGGGAGUGGAUAGGAAACUUGAUGAAGAUUUCGCAUCAUGGUUCAAAAGAUAUGUACGAGUUCACAUAGAUGAUCAAUUCAUCAAGGCCCUUGCAGAAGGUCCGCGUCGAUCAGCAAAACCAUACACUGGUUAUAAUGUCAAUGGCUAUAAAUUUCACACUAAAAGCCGCAGUUCUUCUAGAGCAUGUAAUAACAGCGGUGUAUGCAUAAAAUGAACCAACUACAAUGCAGAUGACUAUGACUAUUAUGGUGUGCUUACUGAUAUCCUUGAAUUGGAGUAUAAGGGUAGUGCGCCGAUAAAGAGAACUAUUUUAUUUAAGUGUGAAUGGUUUGAUCCAACAUCAAAAGUAGGAAUGAAGUUUCACCAGCAAUAUAAACUUGUGGAUGUCAAACAUCGAAGGAAAUUAAAAAAGUAUGAACCAUUUGUUUUGGCAAUGCAAGCGGCUCAAGUGUAUUAUGCCACUUAUCCUAGCUUACGACGUGAUAAAACUGACUGGUGGGCGGUGUGCAAAACAAAAGCUUGGGGUAUUGUGGAUAUGCCCCCAUCUUCUUCACAAUCACCUCCGGCUGAUGUUGUAGAGCCAUUCCAAAAUGAUGAAGAUGGUUUAACAUUUGAUGUGGUAUCUGACAAUGAAACUAUUGUGUGUAAUGAUCCAAAUGGCGAAUUCAUAAACUUAAGAGACGAUGAUGAUGAUUUAGAUGAUGAGGUAGAAAUUCAUGAUGAAUCUGAAUUAGAUGAAGAUGGUGAUAAUGAGGAUGAAGAGGCAUAUGAUGCAAAUGGCAGUGAAUAGAGUCAGAUUGCCCCAAUCUCUUAAAAUAAGAGCAUAGCAUACAAAUUUCUUCUGCAAAAAGUUCUCGCAGCAGCUUGCCCUAAAUUAGUGUGCGGUUAUGGACUCUUUGACAAGAC